UGAGGAAUAUUGGUCAAUGGGCGCGAGCCUGAACCAGCCAAGUCGCGUGAGGGAUGACGGCCCUACGGGUUGUAAACCUCUUUGUCGGGGAGCAAAUUCCGCCACGUGUGGCGGAGUCGAGAGUACCCGAAGAAAAAGCAUCGGCUAACUCCGUGCCAGCAGCCGCGGUAAUACGGAGGAUGCGAGCGUUAUCCGGAUUUAUUGGGUUUAAAGGGUGCGUAGGCGGACUGUCAAGUCAGCGGUAAAAUGCGGGGGCUCAACCUCCGCCCGCCGUUGAAACUGACGGUCUUGAGUGGGCGAGAAGUAUGCGGAAUGCGUGGUGUAGCGGUGAAAUGCAUAGAUAUCACGCAGAACUCCGAUUGCGAAGGCAGCAUACCGGCGCCCAACUGACGCUGAAGCACGAAAGCGUGGGUAUCGAACAGGAUUAGAUACC
rnacentral:rRNA from 1 species